rnacentral:rRNA from 1 species
CGCAUCUGUGCAUGCAGCAUAUCAAUAAGCGGAGGAAAAGGCAUACCUACGCUUAGGAUGUUGACGAGACUGUCGAUCUCAUCUAUACAUGACUCUGUGCAUAUCAAUAAGCGGAGGAAAAGAAACUAACAUGGAUUCCCCUAGUAACGGCGAGUGAAGCGGGAAGAGCUCAAAUUUGAAAUCUUAAAGGUUUUCCCUUGACGAAUUGUAGUUUAAAGAAGUGUUUUCUGUUGAAGUUUUGGUAAAAGUUCUUUGGAAUAGGACAUCAUAGAGGGUGAGAAUCCCGUAUUUGACCAUUUACUUUCAAGCUGUGUGAUACACUUUCAAAGAGUCGGAUUGUUUGGGAAUGCAGUCCAAAAUGGGUGGUAAAUUUCAUCUAAAGCUAAAUAUUGGCGAGAGACCGAUAGCGAACAAGUACCGUGAGGGAAAGAUGAAAAGAACUUUGAAAAGAGAGUUAAACAGUACGUGAAAUUGUCAAAAGGGAAGCGUUUGACACCAGUGUUGUUUUCUCGAAAAUCAAUUAAAAAGAGUUAGAUUUUGUUGUGUAUUGACCUUAACAGCUUGCAUUUCAAUUUUCUUGCUUUUUUUAAUGCACUUUUCGUCUAACAAGUCAACAUCAGUUUCUUUUGUUGUAAAAAGGUCAUUGGAAGGUGGCUUUCUUUUCGGAGAAAGUGUUUAUAGCCUUUGACUCCUGCAAUCGGAGAGACUGAGGUCUGCAGCGUAGAUCCUUCGGGGUUAGAUACAUUUGUGCUAAGUUAUAGCUUUUUAUAGACAACUUGUUGACUAUGAUUAGUCUUGUAGCUUACUCGCUUAUGCUAUUUUACCUACGCUUAGGAUGUUGAUGUGAUACUGCGAGCA